rnacentral:rRNA from 1 species
GACGAACGCUGGCGGCGCGCUUAACACAUGCAAGUCGAACGGAAAGGCCUGCUUUCCCUUGUGGAUUGCGGGUACUCGAGUGGCGAACGGGUGAGUAACACGUGAGUGAUCUGCCCCCAACUUGGGUAUAAGCCUGGGAAACUGGGUCUAAUUCCCGAUAGGACUGCAGGGUGGUGCCUGUGGUGGAAAACGAUUUUCUAGUGGUUGGGGAUGAGCUCGCGGCCUAUCAGCUUGUUGGUGGGGUAAUGGCCUACCAAGGCGGCGACGGGUAGCCGGCCUGAGAGGGUGGACGGCCACAUUGGGACUGAGAUACGGCCCAGACCCCUACGGGAGGCAGCAGUGGGGAAUAUUGCACAAUGGGCGGAAGCCUGAUGCAGCGACGCCGCGUGGGGGAUGACGGCCUUCGGGUUGUAAACUCCUUUCGACCGCGAGGAAGCCACCUGGUUGGAAGGGUGGUGACGGUAGUGGUAGAAGAAGCACCGGCUAACUACGUG